rnacentral:rRNA from 1 species
GACGAACGCUGGCGGCGUGCUUAACACAUGCAAGUCGAACGGAAAGGCCCCUUUGGGGGUACUCGAGUGGCGAACGGGUGAGUAACACGUGAGUAACCUGCCCUUGACUUCGGGAUAACUUCAGGAAACUGGGGCUAAUACCGGAUAGGAAUCCUUGCUGCAUGGUGGGGGUUGGAAAGCUUCGGCGGUUUUGGAUGGACUCGCGGCUUAUCAGCUUGUUGGUGGGGUAGUGGCUUACCAAGGCUUUGACGGGUAGCCGGCCUGAGAGGGCGACCGGCCACAUUGGGACUGAGAAACGGCCCAGACUCCUACGGGAGGCAGCAGUGGGGAAUAUUGCACAAUGGGCGGAAGCCUGAUGCAGCAACGCCGCGUGCGGGAUGACGGCCUUCGGGUUGUAAACCGCUUUCAGCAGGGGCGAAGCUUGUGGUGACGGUACCUGCAGAAGAAGCACCGGCUAACUACGUG